rnacentral:rRNA from 1 species
GAUGAACGCUGGCGGCGUGCCUAAUACAUGCAAGUCGAGCGAACAGACGAGGAGCUUGCUCCUCUGACGUUAGCGGCGGACGGGUGAGUAACACGUGGAUAACCUACCUAUAAGACUGGGAUAACUUCGGGAAACCGGAGCUAAUACCGGAUAAUAUAUUGAACCGCAUGGUUCAAUAUUGAAAGACGGUUUUGCUUUCACUAAUAGAUGGAUCCGCGCCGCAUUAGCUAGUUGGUAAGGUAACGGCUUACCAAGGCAACGAUGCGUAGCCGACCUGAGAGGGUGAUCGGCCACACUGGAACUGAGACACGGUCCAGACUCCUACGGGAGGCAGCAGUAGGGAAUCUUCCGCAAUGGGCGAAAGCCUGACGGAGCAACGCCGCGUGAGUGAUGAAGGUCUUCGGAUCGUAAAACUCUGUUAUUAGGGAAGAACAAAUGUGUAAGUAACUAUGCACGUCUUGACGGUACCUAAUCAGAAAGCCACGGCUAACUACGUG